rnacentral:RNase_P_RNA from 1 species
GUGAUGGGUCGCCCCACCGCGGCGCUUUCGGGCGACGAGGAAAGUCCGGGCAACGCAGAGCACCUUGCUUCCUAACGGGAAGGACUGGCGCAAGCCAGGACAGCGAGUGCCACAGAAAAUUACCGCCUACGUCGCCCUCGGGCGGCCGGUAAGGGUGAAAAGGUGCGGUAAGAGCGCACCAGCGGGCGGGUAACCGUCCCGGCUGGGUAAACCUCAGGGGUUGAAAGACCAAAUAAGCUGGUACGCCGGCUUCUUCGGAAGCAUCGGCACCGGGCGGCUCGUCCGGCGCCAGCGGGUAGGUUGAUGGAGCCUUUCCGCGAGGACUGGCCUAGAUAAAUGGUGGGGCAGCUGCCUCGGCAGCGGACAGAACCCGGCUUACAGACCCAUCACCCCA